GUAUCGGAGGUAAGUGCUCCCCCACACUGGGGGUGGUGAUUGGGGGGACCGCCAAUAUGUAUGUUUUCUGCACCCCCCAACCUCAAAACAUUCUGGCGCUCCUGGUGCCGCACAAGGUGCUACAUCCUGGACAAUUUUUCCCAUCUUAUCUGAAGACACCAAACAAGCAGCAGUAGAGAACCUAAUCUAAACAUCAAAAGUAUAUAGUGGUGACACAAGCAUGAGAACUGGCAAGAUUAGAGCUGGCACUUUUUGUGCAGGCCCAUUGUGGGACUACACCAAGGGCCUGAUUCAUGUUUUGGCGUAACUACCAGGGCCGGCCCAAGCCUAAAUUUUUUGGUAAGUUAAUAUAGAUUUUGGCGCCCCCAAACUCCCCCCCACCCACCCCAUGGAUGAUGGAAAAUAUUAUACACCCAAAAGCUUAAAGCGCAUUAAGUGAAAUAUGGGUGAAAUCAACUGUCUACCAUAAAGUUAAAACUUCGCAUAUUCAAUAAUCUGAUCUCAGCCCGCUCAGGCAUGCAUGUCACUUGCCGAAAACAAAGAUAAAUGCAAGACCCAAAAACAAACAUCUGAAGACAGCUGCAAAGCAGAACAAAGGAGAAAACACAGCAUUUGGUGAUUCUCAGCAAAGUAUUACAAAUGAACAUAGGGGACUUUGCAUAAAACGGCAGCAAUUUCUAAACAUUUUAUACAUAAUUGUUGAGCAAAUCCUUUUUUUUUU